rnacentral:piRNA from 1 species
UGGUUGAAGGAAGUUCUUGCCAUUGCCAA